AUGAGCUCAAGGACAUGUACCCAUAAAAAAAAAACACAAAUUUUACGAUUUAUGUCAUUCAAAAGUAUAUUUUCCGAUCAAAGUUCAAUCCCCUAUUUUUCUCAUUCCACAAUUACACAAUCCACAAAACUAUAUACUCUUUUAGAGUUCUUCAAAGAAAAACAUUCUUUUAUAGAAACAAUUUAG